rnacentral:rRNA from 1 species
UACGAAGGGGGCUAGCGUUGUUCGGAAUUACUGGGCGUAAAGCGCACGUAGGCGGAUUUGUAAGUCAGGGGUGAAAUCCCGGGGCUCAACCUCGGAACUGCCUUUGAUACUGCAAGUCUCGAGUCCGAUAGAGGUGAGUGGAAUUCCUAGUGUAGAGGUGAAAAUUCGUAGAUAUUAGGAAGAACACCGGUGGCGAAGGCGGCGACCUGGUCCUUGACUGACGCUGAGGCGCGAAAGCGUGGGGAGCAAACAGG